CCUACGGGGGGCAGCAGUAGGGAAUUUUGCGCAAUGGACGAAAGUCUGACGCAGCGAUACCGUGUGUGGGAAGAAGCUCUGUGGAGUGUAAACCACUGUCGGAAGGGACGAAUAAAUGACGGUACCUUCAAAGGAAGCACCGGCUAACUCUGUGCCAGCAGCCGCGGUAAUACAGAGGGUGCGAGCGUUGUCCGGAUUUAUUGGGCGUAAAGCGUCUGUAGGUUGUUUAUCAAGUCUGGAGUGAAAUAAUGAGGCUCAACUUCAUUCCCGCUCCGGAAACUGGUAGACUAGAGAUUAUUAGAGGUAAGUGGAAUUCCAAGUGUAGCGGUGAAAUGCGUAGAUAUUUGGAGGAACACCGACGGCGAAAGCAGCUUACUGGGAUAAUUCUGACACUGAGAGACGAAAGCUAGGGGAGCAAAAGGGAUUAGAUACCCCAGUAGUC
rnacentral:rRNA from 1 species